rnacentral:misc_RNA from 1 species
CAGAGUUGCAAAACUCCCAAACCAUCGUGAACGUUACCUACAUCGUUGCUUCGGCGGGUGGCGGGCUUCGGCCCUGCCCUCGGCCCCUCUCGGGGGCCCGCCGGAGGUACACCAAACUCUUGAAUUUACAUGGCCUCUCUGAGUCUUCUGUACUGAAUAAGUCA